CACGGUAGGGGGCGAGCGUUGUCCGGAAUCAUUGGGCGUAAAGAGCUCGUAGGCGGCUCGGUAAGUCGGGUGUGAAACCCCCAGGCUCAACCUGGGGACGCCACCCGAUACUGCUGUGGCUAGAGUCCAGUAGGGGAGUGUGGAAUUCCCGGUGUAGCGGUGAAAUGCGCAGAUAUCGGGAGGAACACCAGCGGCGAAGGCGGCACUCUGGGCUGGAACUGACGCUGAGGAGCGAAAGCGUGGGUAGCAAACAGGA
rnacentral:rRNA from 1 species